rnacentral:tRNA from 1 species
UCCCAGGUGGCUCAGUGGUAAAGAAUCUGCCUGCAAUGCAGUAGAUGCAGGUUCGAUUCCUAGCUUGGGAA